GAAACGACUGCUAAGACUGGAUAGGAAACAGAAAGGCAUCUUUUUGUUUUUAAAAGACCUUUUUAGGAAGGUAUGCUUAAAGAUGGGCUUGCGCCACAUUAGUUAGUUGGUAGGGUAAUGGCCUACCAAGACGAUGAUGUGUAGCUGGACUGAGAGGUCGAACAGCCACAUUGGGACUGAGACACGGCCCAAACUCCUACGGGAGGCAGCAGUAGGGAAUUUUCGGCAAUGGAGGAAACUCUGACCGAGCAACGCCGCGUGAACGAUGAAGUAUUUCGGUAUGUAAAGUUCUUUUAUUGAAGAAGAAAAAAUAGUGGAAAAACUAUCUUGACGUUAUUCAAUGAAUAAGCCCAAUAACUAUGUGCCAGCAGCCGCGGUAAUACAUAGGGGGCGAGCGUUAUCGGAAUUAUUGGGCGUAAAGGGUGCGUAGGCGGUUAGGAAAGUCUAUAAUUUAAUUUCAGUGCUUAACGCUGUCUUGUUAUAGAAACUACCUUGACUAGAGUUAGAUAGAGGCAAGCGGAAUUCCAUGUGUAGCGGUAAAAUGUGUAAAUAUAUGGAGGAACACCAGAAGCGUAGGCGGCUUGCUGGGUCUUGACUGACGCUGAGGCACGAAAGCGUGGGUAGCAAACAGGAUUAGAUACCCUGGUAGUCCACGCCGUAAACGAUGAGUACUAAGUGUCGGGGUAAAACUCGGUACUGAAGUUAACACAUUAAGUACUCCGCCUGAGUAGUACGUACGCAAGUAUGAAACUUAAAGGAAUUGACGGGACUCCGCACAAGCGGUGGAUCAUGUUGUUUAAUUCGAAGAUACACGAAAAAUCUUACCAGGUCUUGACAUGCUUUGCAAAGCUAUAGAAAUAUAGUGGAGGUUAUCAGGGACACAGGUGGUGCAUGGUUGUCGUCAGUUCGUGUCGUGAGAUGUUAGGUUAAGUCCUAAAACGAGCGCAACCCUUGUCGUUAAUUGCCAGCACGUAAUGGUGGGGACUUUAGCGAGACUGCCAAUUAAAAAUUGGAGGAAGGUGAGGAUUACGUCAAAUCAUCAUGCCCCUUAUGAUCUGGGCUACAAACGUGAUACAAUGGCUGUUACAAAGAGUAGCUGAAGCGCGAGUUUUUGGCAAAUCUCAAAAAAGCAGUCUCAGUCCGGAUUGAAGUCUGUAACUCGACUUCAUGAAGUUGGAAUCGCUAGUAAUCGCGAAUCAGCAUGUCGCGGUGAAUACGUUCUCGGGGUUUGUACACACCGCCCGUCA
rnacentral:rRNA from 1 species